GAUGAACGCUGGCGGCGUGCCUAAUACAUGCAAGUCGAGCGAACGGACGAGAAGCUUGCUUCUCUGAUGUUAGCGGCGGACGGGUGAGUAACACGUGGAUAACCUACCUAUAAGACUGGGAUAACUUCGGGAAACCGGAGCUAAUACCGGAUGAUAUUUUGAACCGCAUGGUUCAAAAGUGAAAGACGGUCUUGCUGUCACUUAUAGAUGGAUCCGCGCUGCAUUAGCUAGUUGGUAAGGUAACGGCUUACCAAGGCAACGAUGCAUAGCCGACCUGAGGGGGGGGUGCGCCCAUGGGAAAAGGAACGGCGGUCAAGGCACUGAGGGGAGGCCCAGGUGGGAAAUUUUCGGAAAAGGGGGAAACCUUGCAGGAGGAACGGCGGGGGGGUGAAGAAGGUCUGCGGGCGGGAAAACGCUUUUAUGGGGGAAAACCACUUUUGAAUGUAACUGGGCGAGUUUUAAGGUAACCUAUAAAGAAACCCCGGCUAACCACGGG
rnacentral:rRNA from 1 species